rnacentral:rRNA from 1 species
AUUGAACGCUGGCGGCAUGCCUUACACAUGCAAGUCGAACGGCAACACGGGUGCUUGCACCUGGUGGCGAGUGGCGAACGGGUGAGUAAUACAUCGGAACAUGUCCUGUAGUGGGGGAUAGCCCGGCGAAAGCCGGAUUAAUACCGCAUACGAUCUACGGAUGAAAGCGGGGGACCUUCGGGCCUCGCGCUAUAGGGUUGGCCGAUGGCUGAUUAGCUAGUUGGUGGGGUAAAGGCCUACCAAGGCGACGAUCAGUAGCUGGUCUGAGAGGACGACCAGCCACACUGGGACUGAGGCACGGCCCAGACUCCUACGGGAGGCAGCAGUGGGGAAUUUUGGACAAUGGGCGAAAGCCUGAUCCAGCAAUGCCGCGUGUGUGAAGAAGGCCUUCGGGUUGUAAAGCACUUUUGUCCGGAAAGAAAUCCUUGGCCCUAAUACGGUCGGGGGAUGACGGUACCGGAAGAAUAAGCACCGGCUAACUACGUG